AAUGAACGUUGGCGGCGUGGAUUAGGCAUGCAAGUCGAGCGAGAAACCUCCUUCGGGAGGUGGAAAGCGGCGAAAGGGAGAGUAACGCGUGGAUACCUGCCCUCGGGUUCGGGAUAGCUGCUGGAAACGGCAGGUAAUACCGAAUGAUAUCUCCGGAUCAAAGGUGUGAUUCCGCCCGGGGAUGGGUCCGCGUCCUAUUAGCUAGUUGGUGAGGUAACGGCUCACCAAGGCAACGAUGGGUAGUGGGUGUGAGAGCACGACCCACCUCACUGGGACUGAGCCACUGCCCAGACACCUACGGGUGGCUGCAGUCGAGGAUCUUCGGCAAUGGGCGCAAGCCUGACCGAGCGACGCCGCGUGCGGGAUGAAGGCCUUCGGGUUGUAAACCGCUUUCGGAGGGGAUGAAAUGCGUGGGGGUUCUCCCCCACGUUUGACAUAGCCUCUAAAGAAGUACGGGCUAAGUUCGUGCCAGCCGCCGCAGUAACAC
rnacentral:rRNA from 1 species